UUACGGCCAUAUCACGUUGAAACACCAGUUCCCGUAGGAUCACCGAAGUUAGCAACGUCGAGUCUGGUUAGUACUUAGAUGGGUGACUACUUGAGAAUAUCAGGUGCUGUAAG